rnacentral:misc_RNA from 1 species
CUGCGGUCGAGCGGCACAUCGGCAACGUCACCUCUCGCUCUUUCUACGCCUCUCCUUAUCCCUUUCAUCUACGCGUGUGUGCAGCGCCUCUCCCCCCCCCCUCGUCUUCCUUUCCGCAUCCACCGAGCUGCCCACCAGGGCGCGACAUCCUGGAUGUGGCGCACGGCACCCCUCUGCUGCGCCGUAGCCGCCGCGACAGUGGAGAAGUGUCUUCGCGACAUCCAUCAGGGACGGAUUGCGGCGGCGCUUCCUCGGCUCAACGAGCUCAAGGCCGCGUCGUGUACCGUGCAAGGAAUAGACUACGCGCGUGCUCUGUGCUUCCUCUUCGACAAGGAGAAGGGCAACCUGCUAGCUGCGCGUCAGAGCCUGCUGGAAGAGCUGCGUCUCCAUCCCCACCAUCACGAGGCACAGACACUGCUGCAUCAAAUCAACGACACCGCGCGGCUCCUCUUGGCGCCGCCGACAGAGGUUCGAAAGCAAUGCCCGCUGUUCGCCCUUCUCUUCGACGCCCUGCUAGACUCAACAAUGCUGACGUGGCCUCGACUUCUGCAUCUCUACCAGGCGACUGACCGUCUUGCACGCCUGGACGCGAAAAGCAGCGCGAGCGGGGACGCCGGGCAUGUCGUGGAGUGCGGGACUGCAGGCGGUGGGUCAGCCGUACUGAUGGCCGUUGUUCUGGCGGAGGCAGAGGCUUCAAGCGGCACUGGUACAUCGCCGAAAAGGCGUGUUUUCGCCCUCGACAGUUUCACCGGUAUGCCGCCUCCCACCGCGAAAGACUGCCUUGCCAGCGCCCCUGUCGGUGCAUCGUCUCCCUCGCAGCUCAGCCCAUUGCGGAGCCGAGACGAGGCGACGCCGUCGUGGGGAGCCGGCACGUGCCGUUCGCCGGCGGCGCACGUGCGGCAGCUCGCGCGACACUUUUCGGUCGAGGACCGACUUGUGGUGAUUGAGGGGCUAUUUACCGACUCCAUACCAGCGCAGCUGCUGUCGCGCAGAGACGUCCAACGAGACGGCAUUGCACUUCUUCACAUCGACGCCGACUGGUACGCUUCCACGCGCACGGCACUGGAGCUUCUUGUGCCAGUGAUGCGCCGUCGCACGGCGGACGAUAGCGGUGUGGACGUCCGCCCUUGUCCCCAUCGCAUCGUGCAGGUCGAUGAUUAUCACUACUGGCAAGGUUGUCGUGAGGCCGUCGACGAGUACAUGGCGAAGUGGGGGGCUGCGUCUCCGCACAUUGACGACGUCGACGACAAUGCCGUCUGGUUCGCUGUUUCCAGAGACGGUGGCGACGUUACACACAGUACCGCCUGUCAGUGAUGCCAUGACCUUUGGUUGCACGUGUGAGUGGUUGAGGGCGAACACGUUUCUAGUUCCGCCGCCCUCACGUCUGCGCACUUUCUUACCUGAAGGGAACGCAACGUGCGCUGGACUCAAGGCCAUUCGCCGAGCAAAUU